rnacentral:rRNA from 1 species
UACGGAGGGGGCUAGCGUUGUUCGGAAUUACUGGGCGUAAAGCGCACGUAGGCGGCUUUGUAAGUAAGAGGUGAAAGCCUGGUGCUCAACACCAGAACUGCCUUUUAGACUGCAUCGCUUGAAUCCAGGAGAGGUGAGUGGAAUUCCGAGUGUAGAGGUGAAAUUCGUAGAUAUUCGGAAGAACACCAGUGGCGAAGGCGGCUCACUGGACUGGGUAUUGACGCUGAGGUGCGAAAGCGUGGGGAGCAAACAGG